UUCUACAGUGCAUGUGUCUCCAGUGUGGAUAAGCGACUGGAGAUGCGGCCCUGUUGGAAUAAC
rnacentral:pre_miRNA from 1 species